ACUGAACGCUGGCGGCAGGCUUAACGCAUGCAAGUCGAGCGGGAGAAGGUAGCUUGCUACCGGACCUAGCGGCGGACGGGUGAGUAAUGCUUAGGAAUCUGCCUAUUAGUGGGGGACAACAUCUCGAAAGGGAUGCUAAUACCGCAUACGUCCUACGGGAGAAAGCAGGGGAUCUUCGGACCUUGCGCUAAUAGAUGACCCUAAGUCGGAUUAGCUAGGUGGUGGGGUGAAGGCCUACCAAGGCGACGAUCUGUAGCGGGUCUGAGAGGAUGAUCCGCCACACUGGGACUGAGACACGGCCCAGACUCCUACGGGAGGCAGCAGUGGGGAAUAUUGGACAAUGGGGGGAACCCUGAUCCAGCCAUGCCGCGCGUGUGAAGAAGGCCUUAUGGUUGUAAAGCACUUUAAGCGAGGAGGAGGCUACUCUAGUUAAUACCUAGGGAUAGUGGACGUUACUCGCAGAAUAAGCACCGGCUAACUCUGUGCCAGCCGCCGCGGUAA
rnacentral:rRNA from 1 species